GAUGACAGCAUCAUAAAGGGAAAGCUUUUGAUAGUGCCAUCUGUCAAACUGCCAUGCUAUAACCUUCCUCCUCAGGCUUCCAGUCUCUUUUGCUUUGCAUUCUGACACCAUGCUGGGGUACCAGAUGACACCAAGUGAAGAAAUCCACACAAGAAGGAUCAUCUGAAGGAGAGAAAUCCAAGCAAAAUUCCAGGAACUUGUACCAGGGAGCCUGCUCCAGGUAUGCUGCUGACUGCUGCUUGCCACCAACAUCCCAUGGAGUCUACCUGUUCCUCUACACUUCAAGUGUGUAGCAGCCAGAGUGCA